UGAGGCUCUGUUAGCCUUGGCUCUGGGUCCAGCUGCUUAGAGCAGAGGCAGAGAGGCUCAGG
rnacentral:pre_miRNA from 1 species